rnacentral:rRNA from 1 species
UACGUAGGUGGCAAGCGUUAUCCGGAAUUACUGGGCGUAAAGCGCACGCAGGCGGUCUUGUAAGUUUGACGUGAAAGCUCCCGGCUUAACUGGGAGAGGUCGUUGAAGACUGCAAGACUUGAGGAAAUGAGAGGGGUGUAGAAUUCCCGGUGUAGUGGUGGAAUGCGUAGAUAUCGGGGGGAACACCAAUGGCGAAGGCAGCUCGCUGGGACGUUACUGACGCUGAGACGCGAAAGCGUGGGGAGCAAACAGG